UGCCUGAAUGUAUGUCUUUGUACCUAGCUCAUAAAGUGCCCACAGAGGCCAGAAGAGGGAAUACUAUCUCCUGAAACUGUAGUUACAGAUGAUUGUCAGCUACCAUGUUGGUAGCAGGAAUCAAACAUGAGUCCUCUGGAAGAAAAGAUCCCCAUGGAGGUGCCUGGGUGGAAGAACAGAGCAUUCCUGCACUGUAAUGACGCCUACUUUACCAGCCAUUGAUUUACACAAUGAGCCAAGUAGUGAUUGCCUGGAUGACAUGUCAGAUGAUCUUGAUCACCAGCUUGGCAGGAAUUAGAAUCACCAUGGGAACAAAACUCUGGAACCAUCAUCUCCUUUGAUAGGCAGAAGAGAAAAGUAAGCGGAAGAAAAAGAAGAGAAGAGGGGAGAGAAGAAAAGAGAAGGAAGAGGAGGACUCCCAUUAGCAUCUCAACGACACAAUAUGGAAAUUGAACCAAACAGGAAAAAUAACUGGAUUGGAAUUUGUAUUUAUAACAUAAAUGUGGAGCUUUUCCUAAUUUUAGUUUCAGAAGAAACAUGACUCUAGCUGACUGAAGCUGUAUUGUGCUUUUAUCUUUAUAAAAAAAUAAAACCUGUGAAUGAA